rnacentral:rRNA from 1 species
UACGAAGGGGGCUAGCGUUGCUCGGAAUCACUGGGCGUAAAGGGUGCGUAGGCGGGUCUUCAAGUCAGGGGUGAAAUCCUGGAGCUCAACUCCAGAACUGCCUUUGAUACUGAAGAUCUUGAGUUCGGGAGAGGUGAGUGGAACUGCGAGUGUAGAGGUGAAAUUCGUAGAUAUUCGCAAGAACACCAGUGGCGAAGGCGGCUCACUGGCCCGAUACUGACGCUGAGGCGCGAAAGCUAGGGGAGCAAACAGG